rnacentral:tRNA from 1 species
CCCCUCGUAGCUCAACGGAUAGAGCUACUCCGUCCUAAGGAGAAGAUGUGGGUUCAAUUCCUACCGAGGGGA